ensembl:lncRNA MIR222HG miR222/221 cluster host gene
GGCAGAACCUGCGGGCGAGGUGGGUGGCUCGCCAGCCGGGACGAAGGGAAAUGAGGACCACCGCUCCGGGGCGCGAGUAGGCGCGUGGAGUCCGGGGGCUCAGCCGCCGCGCCUCUUCCUCCUGCAGCUGGAGACUGCAACAGCGGCGGGUGCACCGGCAGCAGCGACGACCCUGCGCGCAGGUGGCAGUGUAGAAGCCAGACCGGGAGCUUCCAGAAGUGGUUUCUGAAAGAGUCAAAUGUACAUGAGUAAGCAAGCACAGGAAUCUGAAAAACCACAGGUAUGUAGGACAAUUAAUCCACCUAUCUAGCUUUAUAAUUAUUGCAUUCCAGUAGUACUAACCCAUUUGCUCUUAUGUUCAAUAUUUUGACACUUAUAUAAAUUUCUAUGAAGUGAAAUGUAUUUUGAGGUAACCUCCGAGGAGAAGCAGGGUCUAAUCUAUUUCUGACAAUGUAUUUAAAUAAAAAUUCUGCAUGUCAUUAUAUUACAUGACUUUUUACUGUUCUAAAAGAGUUGUUUUUCCAUUGUGACCAUGUGGCUUUGCAUUUAACCAGUUGUUUGAUAUCUGCUUUUCAAAACACUUUUCCUGAAACUACAUAAAACUGCCAAUUGUUCUGAAUAAUUUCAUUUGAGAUAAUGUUAACAGAGUCACCUGCAUGAACCAAUAACAAUAUCAGCUUAAAAAUUUUUUU